CAGUAGAAUUUUCAAUAAUACGACGCAUCAUAGAAGUACCUGGAUGACCAAGUCUUUCAUGUUAAGCAUAAAGGAUUUGGGAUCUAUGAUUUUUGGAAUCAUAACAUUAUGAGACUCAAUUGCUCUAAUUUUCAUAGUAUAUAAUCCAGAAGAAAUUGAAUGAAGUUUUUCUAAGAUAUUCUUUUUUUCAGAAAUAGUAGAAGUAAUGAGAAGAUAUUCAUUAUCAUUCUCAUUGGUUGUUUCAAUGUGAAAACCAUUUAGUCGAAUAUCUUUAAAACUAAGCAAAUUUCUUCUUGAUUUACUAGAAUAUAGAGCAUUUUUGAUAAAAACUUGUGUCUCAUUUGGUAGCAUAAAACUAGAUUUUCUAAAUCCCUCGAUUAAUUUGAUGUGCCAGAGAUAGUUCCUACAUUUCCCUUAGCUUUGAUUAGUUGUGAAAAAUAUUUCUCACUUUGAAGGAUUGUAUGAGUUGUUGCACUGUCUGCUAAACAUAUAUCCUCCAUAUCCAUUAAAGAUGGUCUGACACAUAUAAAAACAUAAAUAAGAAAAGUUACACUUCAAAUAUAAUUUUA
rnacentral:lncRNA from 1 species